GAGGCAGUUGGCAGAGCAACAGCAGCCAGUAUUGGAAUUCUGGGACCGAGUCCUCCAUUUUUUUCAGACCAACAAAUCCAGAAGAGGAAAUGGGCUGCAUGGACCCAACGCCUACCUGUGAACAACUCAAGUGUUUCCCAGGUCUCAUGCCCAGCAGGUCUGAUCAUAAAUGUGCAUAUUCAUAAAGACUGAACCCAGAGGCAGGGGAGGCUCUUCUUAUCCCCCCUGGUAUGGUGCUUGCAGCUCACAGCACAUGGCACUAGUGCUUCAGGAGACAAUGCUUAACCUUAAGCAGGCCACCCUCUGAUCUCCUCAAACUGUCUAAGGCUUUAUGAUGCAUGGUGCUCGCGCCUAUGUCCAAUCUGGAUGAAGUUGACAGAGGUAGAGAUCUUACCAGCAUCUAACCUGAGAUCCCUGCCUAGUCUUGAGAUGAGCAACUGUUUAAAAACCUGUGUCCACAAUCUAUUUGUGUGUAUCUGCAAAUGAAGGCAGACAACCUGAGAGAACCCAAGAAAACCAGUGGAAGAAUUUUCCAUUUACGAGCUGGAGAAAGCACCUAGAAACCUUGCUUUGGUUGUUGUUGAUAGUGUUCAGGAGGAGAACUUCCUUUUGGGGUGUUGGCUGAGGAGGAAGGUCAGUUGAAUGCUUUUUCUGCCUCUCUGAGUUAGGAGGCUUUCACUCUAGCAUCUGGCUCCUGAGUCUUUAUUGGUAAAAAUCCAACCAUCGGGGUUUUGUUAAAAACAACAAAGAUGAAGCCAUGAAAUUUGCAGGUAAGUGGAUGGACCUAGAAAAGAUUAUACGAGUGAGGUAACCCAGACCUAGAAAGAUGAACACUACAUGUUCUUCCUUAUCUGGGGCUCCUAACUCCAAAUCCUCAGAUGUGAGUAUACAACAUGAAGUCAUUACAGAAAGCAGAACUCAUAAAGUGACCAUAGGUGGAGAGGGUUUGAGAGGGGGAUAACAGGGUACACGUGAUAUGCAGAGGGUAGGAGAGUAAUGAGGAGGGGGCUCCAAAUGGGGAGGAGGGAAAGAGGUCGAUACAGAAGGAAAAAAGGUGGAUUAGGGACAAAUGACAACAAUGUUGUUUGGUAAAGCCAUUAGAAAUCAUAGUAUUUUAUAUUUACUUAUAUAUUAUAUAGUAUAUAAUAUAUAUUAAUAUAUAGUAUAAGAAGGUAAGCCACUGGGGUUGACAGGAUCCCAGAAGAACCACAGACAACAAAAAUCCCAGGAGCAGGCAGGAGAAAUAUCCUUUCAAAGAAUUCUUCAGGGUAGUCCAAAAGAUAAAACAAUGUAGAUUAUAGAGGCUGCUUCUCAGCAGUUAAGAGCGGGCCCCUCUUGCAGAGGACACUGCACAUAGAGGACAUAGAACUUGGAUGAUAUGAGAUGGGUCUGAUCUGAAAGCCUUUCUCCCAGUGGUCUAGCUUCUAUGUUUCCAGAAAGUACUAUGCUAGCUGUCAAGGGAGGGAAGUUAUUUAAUAGUCCUACCCAGCUGCAAUACCCAUGAGCCACAAUUGUCAGCAUGGCAAGAUGCAAUAA